UGAACGCUAGCUACAGGCUUAACACAUGCAAGUCGAGGGGCAGCAUUUCAGUUUGCUUGCAAACUGGAGAUGGCGACCGGCGCACGGGUGAGUAACACGUAUCCAACCUGCCGAUAACUCGGGGAUAGCCUUUCGAAAGAAAGAUUAAUACCCGAUGGUAUAAUCAGACCGCAUGGUCUUGUUAUUAAAGAAUUUCGGUUAUCGAUGGGGAUGCGUUCCAUUAGGCAGUUGGUGAGGUAACGGCUCACCAAACCUUCGAUGGAUAGGGGUUCUGAGAGGAAGGUCCCCCACAUUGGAACUGAGACACGGUCCAAACUCCUACGGGAGGCAGCAGUGAGGAAUAUUGGUCAAUGGGCGCAGGCCUGAACCAGCCAAGUAGCGUGAAGGAUGACUGCCCUAUGGGUUGUAAACUUCUUUUAUAUGGGAAUAAAGUUUUCCACGUGUGGAAUUUUGUAUGUACCAUAUGAAUAAGGAUCGGCUAACUCCGUGCCAGCAGCCGCGGUAAUACGGAGGAUCCGAGCGUUAUCCGGAUUUAUUGGGUUUAAAGGGAGCGUAGGUGGACAGUUAAGUCAGUUGUGAAAGUUUGCGGCUCAACCGUAAAAUUGCAGUUGAUACUGGCUGUCUUGAGUACAGUAGAGGUGGGCGGAAUUCGUGGUGUAGCGGUGAAAUGCUUAGAUAUCACGAAGAACUCCGAUUGCGAAGGCAGCUCACUGGACUGCAACUGACACUGAUGCUCGAAAGUGUGGGUAUCAAACAGGAUUAGAUACCCUGGUAGUCCACACAGUAAACGAUGAAUACUCGCUGUUUGCGAUAUACAGUAAGCGGCCCAAGCGAAAGCAUUAAGUAUUCCACCUGGGGAGUACGCCGGCAACGGUGAAACUCAAAGGAAUUGACGGGGGCCCGCACAAGCGGAGGAACAUGUGGUUUAAUUCGAUGAUACGCGAGGAACCUUACCCGGGCUUAAAUUGCAUUUGAAUAUAUUGGAAACAGUAUAGCCGUAAGGCAAAUGUGAAGGUGCUGCAUGGUUGUCGUCAGCUCGUGCCGUGAGGUGUCGGCUUAAGUGCCAUAACGAGCGCAACCCUUAUCUUUAGUUACUAACAGGUCAUGCUGAGGACUCUAGAGAGACUGCCGUCGUAAGAUGUGAGGAAGGUGGGGAUGACGUCAAAUCAGCACGGCCCUUACGUCCGGGGCUACACACGUGUUACAAUGGGGGGUACAGAAGGCAGCUACCUGGUGACAGGAUGCUAAUCCCAAAAGCCUCUCUCAGUUCGGAUCGAAGUCUGCAACCCGACUUCGUGAAGCUGGAUUCGCUAGUAAUCGCGCAUCAGCCAUGGCGCGGUGAAUACGUUCCCGGGCCUUGUACACACCGCCCGUCAAGCCAUGAAAGCCGGGGGUACCUGAAGUACGUAACCGCAAGGAGCGUCCUAGGGUAAAACUGGUAAUUGGGGCUAAGUC
rnacentral:rRNA from 1 species